AAAAUGUUGAGGGUGCAAGCACAGUGGGAUUUGGGUUCCCUCCACUGCAAUCCAAUGGACUUUAGACAAAUCACUUUGGGUAUGUCUAUAUUAAGAGAGUGAAGGCUCAAAACGCCUCAACAAUUCCUCUGGGGCCUCUCUAGGCCAGGAAGAAGAAGCAAGAGAGAAGUGCAAAGCAAACUUUAGCUCACUGCUGGCGUUUGGGAGUGUAUUUCCUUUUGAUAUAACAUCUCAGGCAGAGUUCUGCAUCAGCAUUUCCAUAUUUUAUGAGCCUCAGACUGUUAUAUCCCCGCAACACCACCCAAGCUCACCUAAUUGGAAUGAAAUCAAAAAUAAAAACCAAAAAACCAUAACCUUUUGAUGUUCCCAAGCGGAAAGUGGUAUAAAAGCCCCCAAGAAAUACCUUGCAUGGCAUGAUAGUCACUGAAUGUUAACUGGGCCUGUGACAUACACUUUUCAUUAGCGUUCUUGGAAAGUCAAUGAUUCUUGGGUUCUUAAGCAAAUAUGUUAUUUUUUUUUUUUCAUACUGAAUGGAAAGAUGGAAUUCCCAAAGGGUAUCAACUGCAACCCAGCACAGCAGAAGUGUAAUUUGUCAAACAACAACACAGUGAAAUAUUUCACAGCUGAAACUAUAUUAACAUGACAGAAUCUGAAGCCAGUUAACACUUCUCAUUAGAAUUUUACUUCAGCAUAACUCUUGAGCAAAAUGCCCUUAGCCCAAACAAACAUGUUUCGUGUUUCUUGAAACACCACAAAUGUUGCCAUCUACCUCCUUUCCCUGUCAUGCUCCCUUCGUGAGAAAAGUUCAAAGCCACAAGUUAAUAUUUGGGUCUCUCUUUGAGUAGCAGAGGUCAAGACAUCUACCAGCCAUGCAUUCCGAAGCAGAACUCUUGCAGUCUACUUGCAGCCAUACAGCGAGUAGCCAGUUUUUCUCUUGGACUGUAAUUACAUCUCUUAGGGAGAUAAAUCAACAUUAAUGCAGGGUCAGGCUAUGACACGGGAACUCAUCAUAACAUACAGUUUGCUCCUAAGUUCAGGUUCUGCGUGACUCAAAUUGAAUAACAAAUAAUAUAUGGAAAGUGGCACGCUGUAUGUAAAAAGCUUGUGAGCUGAAGAAGCAGCUACAUUCACAGCAAAUCUCGAGCACUGUCAGUCAUCCAUUGAGCUCAGCUACUUGGUGUGACAGUCAUUACAAGACGGGAGUUUUACAGGCACUUAAAUGCUGUCCUCAAACAGUUACUUGCUGGCAAAUCAACAGUGUGUGGUCAGGACAGAACAAAGUGUUUCUUGAAGAGAUGAUGAAUCAACAUCAGAGUCUGCCCAAGCAUAAAGGACCAGUGCAAAACACUUUCUGACUUCCUGUGGAUGCUAAGCGCUACCUAAAGUCCUUCUGUGGAUCCAACAAGUGGAUCGAUGCAAUAGGAAAGCAGAAGCAUCAGAGGAUGAAAGCUGGCAAGCCUCCCUGGGCCAUUGAAGGCUUUUUGGGCUCAGCUGCUUGCUCUGUCAGAGACAACCAUCCCACAACAUCAGCAGGAGAGGCACUCAGCCCCAGCUCCCUCACUGCCAAUCCAGCAGUGCCAGGCCAAAAGGGCCAUCCAGCCAUUAAAAGGCAGAUCCCACAGACCACCCCAAAGCUAAUCCUGUUGUUUUGUCACCU
rnacentral:lncRNA from 1 species